rnacentral:rRNA from 1 species
AUUGAACGCUGGCGGCAGGCUUAACACAUGCAAGUCGAGCGGGGGAAGGUAGCUUGCUACCGGACCUAGCGGCGGACGGGUGAGUAAUGCUUAGGAAUCUGCCUAUUAGUGGGGGACAACAUCUCGAAAGGGAUGCUAAUACCGCAUACGUCCUACGGGAGAAAGCAGGGGAUCUUCGGACCUUGCGCUAAUAGAUGAGCCUAAGUCGGAUUAGCUAGUUGGGGGGGUAAAGGCCUACCAAGGCGACGAUCUGUAGCGGGUCUGAGAGGAUGAUCCGCCACACUGGGACUGAGACACGACCCAGACUCCUACGGGAGGCAGCAGUGGGGAAUAUUGGACAAUGGGGGGAACCCGGAUCCAGCCAUGCCGCGUGUGUGAAGAAGGCCUUAUUGUUGUAAAGCACUUUAAGCGAGGAGGAGGCUACUCUAGUUAAUACCUAGGGAUAGUGGACGUUACUCGCAGAAUAAGCACCGGCUAACUCUGUGCCAGCCGCCGCGGUAA